GCCAUAUUGUGAUGAAACAUGGAUUUCCAUAUGAUCAUCAAAGUUAAGCAACAUCAUGCCUGGUCAGUACCUAGAUGGGUGACUGCUUGGGAAUACCAAGUGCUGUAA